rnacentral:rRNA from 1 species
UACGUAGGGUCCGAGCGUUGUCCGGAAUUAUUGGGCGUAAAGAGCUCGUAGGCGGUUUGUCGCGUCUGCCGUGAAAGUCCGGGGCUCAACUCCGGAUCUGCGGUGGGUACGGGCAGACUAGAGUGAUGUAGGGGAGACUGGAAUUCCUGGUGUAGCGGUGAAAUGCGCAGAUAUCAGGAGGAACACCGGUGGCGAAGGCGGAUCUCUGGGCCAUUACUGACGCUGAGGAGCGAAAGCGUGGGGAGCGAACAGG